rnacentral:rRNA from 1 species
AACAGGAUUAGAUACCCUGGUAGUCCACGCCCUAAACGAUGUCAACUAGUUGUUGGGGAUUCAUUUCCUUAGUAACGUAGCUAACGCGUGAAGUUGACCGCCUGGGGAGUACGGUCGCAAGAUUAAAACUCAAAGGAAUUGACGGGGACCCGCACAAGCGGUGGAUGACGUGGAUUAAUUCGAUGCAACGCGAAAAACCUUACCUACCCUUGACAUGGUCGGAAUCCCGCUGAGAGGUGGGAGUGCUCGAAAGAGAACCGGCGCACAGGUGCUGCAUGGCUGUCGUCAGCUCGUGUCGUGAGAUGUUGGGUUGAGUCCCGCAACGAGCGCAACCCUUGUCCUUAGUUGCUACGCAAGAGCACUCUAAGGAGACUGCCGGUGACAAACCGGAGGAAGGUGGGGAUGAUGUCAAGUCCUCAUGGCCCUUAUGGGUAGGGCUUCACACGUCAUACAAUGGUCGGAACAGAGGGUUGCCAACCCGCGAGGGGGAGCUAAUCCCAGAAAACCGAUCGUAGUCCGGAUUGCACUCUGCAACUCGAGUGCAUGAAGCUGGAAUCGCUAGUAAUCGCGGAUCAGCAUGCCGCGGUGAAUACGUUCCCGGGUCUUGUACACACCGCCGUCACACCAUGGGAGUGGGUUUUACCAGAAGUGGCUAGUCUAACCGCAAGGAGGACGGUCACCACGGUAGGAUUCAUGACUGGGGUGAAGUCGUAACAAGGUAACC